rnacentral:rRNA from 1 species
GGGGUAGUUCUGGGCGCACGCGCGCUACACUGAUCAAGUCAACGAGUUUACAACCUUGGCCGGAAGGUCUGGGUAAUCUUUUGAAACUUGAUCGUGCUGGGGAUAGUCCAUUGCAAUUAUUGGACUUCAACGAGGAAUUCCUAGUAAGCGUGAGUCAUCAGCUCGCGUUGAUUACGUCCCUGCCCUUUGUACACACCGCCCGUCGCUACUACCGAUUGAAUGGCUUAGUGAGG